rnacentral:rRNA from 1 species
UACGUAGGGUGCGAGCGUUGAUCGGAAUUACUGGGCGUAAAGCGUGCGCAGGCGGUUCGUUAAGUCAGAUGUGAAAGCCCCGGGCUCAACCUGGGAACUGCAUUUGAAACUGGCGGGCUUGAGUGUGGCAGAGGGGGGUGGAAUUCCGCGUGUAGCAGUGAAAUGCGUAGAUAUGCGGAGGAACACCGAUGGCGAAGGCAAUCCCCUGGGCCUGCACUGACGCUCAUGCACGAAAGCGUGGGGAGCAAACAGG